CCAAUAGCGUAUAUUAAAGUUGUUGCAGUUAAAAAGCUCGUAGUUGAAUUUCGGGAUCGAAUUGUUGGUCGUGCUUCGGUACGUACUGGCAUUAUUGGUUCCUACCUUCUGAAGAACCGCGAUGUCAUUAAUUUGGUGUCGUGGGGAAUCAGGACUGUUACUUUGAAAAAAUUAGAGUGUUUAAAGCAGGCGCACGCUUGAAUACAUUAGCAUGGAAUAAUGAAAUAGGACGUUUGAUUCUAUUUUGUUGGUUUCUAGGAUCGACGUAAUGAUUAAUAGGGAUAGUUGGGGGCAUUAGUAUUCAAUUGUCAGAGGUGAAAUUCUUGGAUUUAUUGAAGACUAAAUACUGCGAAAGCAUUUGCCAAGGAUGUUUUCAUUAAUCAAGAACGAAAGUUAGGGGAUCGAAGACGAUCAGAUACCGUCGUAGUCUUAACCAUAAACUAUGCCGACUAGGGAUCGGAUGAUGUUAAUUUUUUAAUGACUCAUUCGGCGCCUUACG
rnacentral:rRNA from 1 species